GACGAACGCUGGCGGCGUGCUUAACACAUGCAAGUCGAACGGAAAGGCCCUGCUUGCAGGGUACUCGAGUGGCGAACGGGUGAGUAACACGUGGGUGAUCUGCCCUGCACUUCGGGAUAAGCUUGGGAAACUGGGUCUAAUACCGGAUAGGACCGCACUUUAGUGUGUGUGGUGGAAAGUUUUUUCGGUGUAGGAUGAGCUCGCGGCCUAUCAGCUUGUUGGUGGGGUAAUGGCCUACCAAGGCGGCGACGGGUAGCUGGCCUGAGAGGGUGUACGGCCACAUUGGGACUUAGGUACGGCCCAGGCUCCUACUGGUGGCAGCAGUGGGGAAUAUUGCACAAUGGGCGCAAGCCUGGUGCAGCGACUCCGCGUGUUGUAUGAAGGCCUUCGUGUUGUAAACUCCUUUCGCUAUGGACGAAUCUUUUUGUGACGGUACCUAGAUAAGAAGCACCGGCUAACUACGUG
rnacentral:rRNA from 1 species